rnacentral:rRNA from 1 species
GCGAAAGAAAGUUAGGGCGUCUGGUGGAUGCCUUGGCUCUCGGAGGCGAUGAAGGACGUGAUAAGCUGCGAUAAGCCUUGGGUAGGUGCAAAUGACCAUUGAUCCAGGGAUUUCCGAAUGGGACAACCCAGCCGGCUGAAGGCCGGUUAUCAUUACAAAGGUAAUGAGGCAAACGGGGGGAACUGAAACAUCUUAGUACCCCCAGGAAGAGAAAAUAAACAAUGAUUCCCCUAGUAGUGGCGAGCGAACGGGGAAGAGCCCAAACCGCAUAUGUAGCAAUGCAUAUACGGGGUAGUAGGACCACGUCGUGGUAUCCUGAUGACGAGCAGAACGGUCUGGAAAGUCCGACCAUAGUUGGUGAUAGUCCAGUACGCGAAGUCAGAGGGGGCCUAGUGGCAUCCUGAGUAACGCGGAGCACGAGGAAUUCUGCGCGAAUCCGCCGGGACCAUCCGGUAAGGCUAAAUACUCCCGAGAGACCGAUAGCGAACGAGUACCGUGAGGGAAAGGUGAAAAGCACCCCUAUGAGGGGAGUGAAAUAGUACCUGAAACCAGUCGCCUACAAGCGGUCGGAGCUAGUAUAUCUAGUGACGGCGUGCCUUUUGCAUAAUGAACCUACGAGUUACCAUGUCCAGCGAGGUUAAGUUCUUAUGGAACGCAACCGCAGUGAAAGCGAGGCUGAACAGGCCGUUUAGUUGGAUGGGGUAGACGCGAAACCGAGUGAUCUACACAUGUCCAGGAUGAAGUCCCGGUAACACGGGAUGGAGGUCCGCACCGAUAAGCGUUGAAAAGCUUCCGGAUGAGGUGUGUGUAGGAGUGAAAGGCCAAUCAAACUCGGAGAUAGCUCGUACUCCCCGAAAGGCAUUUAGGUGCCGCGUCGGAUGGUCACCGUGAGAGGUAGAGCGACCGAUAGGUCAAGAGGGCUUCACCGCCUAUCGAGACCUGACGAACUCCGAAUGCUCACGGUCUGCAGUCCGGCAGUAAGGGGGCGGGUGCUAAGGUCCGUCCCCGAGAGGAGAAGAAUCCAGACCGCCGUCUAAGGUCCCGGAAUCCUGUCUGAGUUAGUCUAACGAAGUCUGGCCUCGAUGACAGCUAGGAUGUUGGCUUGGAAGCAGCCAUUCAUUCAAAGAGUGCGUAACAGCUCACUAGUCGAGAGGCCGGGCAUGGAUAAUAAUCGGGUAUAAGGCAGGUACCGAAGGCGCGGGAUAGCAUUAAAAAGUAUCGGUAGGGGAGCAUUCCAUCGGCGCCGAAGGUGAGCGACGACGUUCACUGGAGCUUAUGGAAAAGCAAAUGUAGGUAUAAGUAACGAUAAGGGGUGUGAGAUUCACCCCCGCCAUAAGACUAAGGUUUCCCGGGCGAUGUCAAUCACCCCGGGGUGAGUCGGGUCCUAAGUUUAAGCCGAAGGGCGAGAGCGAUGGCUGACACGGUUAAUAUUCCGUGACUACCAUACGGGGCGACGUGGUGACGGAGCAGUGACACUGCCGCGUGCUGACGGAAUAGCGCGUUGAAGCGUGUAGGUGUUGAGGAGUGCAGGCAAAUCCACACUCCGAGCCGAACGUGACAGUAUGGAGUCUCCUUCGGGAGAAUCCAAUAGUGCAGGUAAUCAGACUCCCGAGAAAAACCGCUAAGCUUAACCCGUGUGGUACCCGUACCGCAAACGGACACACGUAGUCGGGUAGAAUAUACUAAGGCGUUGAGAGAUUCGUGGCUAAGGAACUAGGCAAACUGACCCUGUAACUUCGGGAUAAAGGGUCCUCGUUUCGGCGAGGCGCAGAGAAUAGGUCCAGGCAACUGUUUAACAAAAACACAGGGCUGUGCAAACUCGAAAGAUGAGGUAUACAGCCUGACACCUGCCCGGUGCUGGAAGGUUAAGAGGAGAUGUCAGUCUUCGGAUGAAGCAUUGAAUUGAAGCCCCAGUAAACGGCGGCCGUAACUAUAACGGUCCUAAGGUAGCGAAAUUCCUUGUCGGGUAAGUUCCGACCUGCACGAAUGGUGUAAUGAUCCGGACGCUGUCUCGGCCACGAGCUCAGUGAAAUUGUAGUAUCGGUGAAGAUGCCGAUUACCCGCGAUGGGACGAAAAGACCCCGUGAACCUUUACUACAGCUUAGCACUGACCUUGGUCAUCGGAUGUGUAGGAUAGGCCGGAGGCUAUGAAGUGGGCGCGCCAGCGUUCAUGGAGCCGCCGUUGAAAUACGGCCCUUCUGCUGCCUGAGGUCUAACUUGUGGAUACAAGGACACUGUUUGGUGGGUAGUUUGACUGGGGUGGUCGCCUCCAAAAGCGUAACGGAGGCUUCCAAAGGUGCCCUCGGGCCGAUUGGUAACCGGCCUUAUAGAGUGUAAAGGCAUAAGGGCGCUUGACUGGGAGGGAGACAUCCCGAGCAGGAACGAAAGUUGGGCUUAGUGAUCCGGUGCAAGUGUAUGGAAACUGCAUCGCUCAAAGGAUAAAAGGUACUCCGGGGAUAACAGGCUGAUCCCCCCCAAGAGCUCAUAUCGACGGGGUGGUUUGGCACCUCGAUGUCGGCUCGUCACAUCCUGGGGCUGGAGAAGGUCCCAAGGGUUGGGCUGUUCGCCCAUUAAAGUGGCACGCGAGCUGGGUUCAGAACGUCGUGAGACAGUUCGGUCUCUAUCUAUCGUGGGCGUAGGAGUCUUGAGUGGAUCGGACACUAGUACGAGAGGACCGUGUUUGACUGACCUCCGGUUUACCGGUUGUACCGCCAGGUGCACCGCCGGGUAUCCGCGUCGGGAUCGGAUAAGCGCUGAAAGCAUCUAAGUGCGAAGCCGGCCACAAGAUGAGGGCUCCAUUGAGGGUCGUGGUAGACUACCACGUUGAUAGGCAGCAGGUGUAAAGACGGUGACGCCAAAGCCGAGCUGUACUAAUUGCCCGAGAUCUUUCGCUG